rnacentral:rRNA from 1 species
UACGUAGGGUGCAAGCGUUGUCCGGAAUUAUUGGGCGUAAAGAGCUCGUAGGCGGUUUGUCACGUCGGAUGUGAAACCCUGAGGCUCAACCUCAGGCCUGCAUUCGAUACGGGCAGACUAGAAUUCGGCAGGGGAGACUGGAAUUCCUGGUGUAGCGGUGAAAUGCGCAGAUAUCGGGAAGAACACCCGUGGCGAAGGCGGCACUCUGGGACGGUACUGACGCUGGGACGCGAAAGCGUGGGGAGCGAACAGG